UACGAGAGGCCCAAACAUUAUUCGGAAUUACUGGGCUUAAAGAGUUCGUAGGCGGCAUGGUAAGUAGGGUGUGAAAUCCCUCGGCUUAACCGGGGAACUGCGUCUGAUACUGGAUGGCUAGAGUUUGGGAGAGGGAUGCGGAAUUCCAGGUGUAGCGGUGAAAUGCGUAGAUAUCUGGAGGAACACCGGUGGCGAAGGCGGCAUCCUGGACCAACACUGACGCUGAGGAGCGAAAGCCAGGGGAGCAAACGGG
rnacentral:rRNA from 1 species